CGUUACGUCAUUUAUUUAUAUUUUUGUAUUUACUUCCGUUAUGAUCGACAGAAGAAAACGCUAUGUAUUGAUGGUUUAUAGAUGUAAAUACGGACUACAUUUGGAACAGCGUGAUGUCCUGUGACAAGAGGUGGCUAUGUUCGGCUGUCCAUUAUGGCAGUAAAUCAUGGCAGUGGCAGUGGAUCGACCAAGCAUGGCCGGAGGUCUCAAGUUCAUGCCUUUGAUUUCAGUUGCAAUAGGAUGCGACGCAGCGAGCAAUGCUGAGUUGUCAGACUUUAUGACGUCAUAAUGGCACAGUGACGUCAAUAAUGCGUCCAGCGUUCGCGUUAAUCUUCAAGGUCACGCUUCAAGCGGUUCAGUGACGGACCAUGCCUCUGGACCGUUAGUGAAAUUCAUUUGAUCGUUACACAAAAUACAUUUAAAAUUAAUCAUCAACAAUUUGCAAGAGCUAUAUGACUAUAAUUGAUAGACAAUUCGUAUUUUGCACAAAUUGUAUUGGAAAAAGAGAUGAUUAAUAAUGUAAAUAUUUGUAGACGUUUCCAUGACAACUGUGAAGACUGAAAGACU